AGGCUAGGUGUAAGAACCCGGCUUCCCAAGCCCAAUACACAGUAAAUUUAUAUAUAUAUAUAUAUAUAUGCAUUCAAUCCACAUGGUGCCGGCAAUCAAUGGAUCUAAAUCCUCACAUCAUCAAAAUACAAUCCAUACAAUCAACAUUUCAUUUCAAAAUCCAGAAUCGGCAACGAAAACUGCGUCGCUGCCGAUUUCUGCAUCGGCAGCGAAAACUGCAUUCAUCAUCAUCUCUCUCUCUCUCUCUCUCUAAAUACAUAUAUUUUUGUUUGGGUGUUUACAUUCUCCCCUCCUAAAUAUGAAUUUUGUCCUCGAAAUUUAAGAAGUUUCACACUCCAUACCUGGUAGUUCAAAUAAAUUAGGGUACUUUUUCCUCAUCUCCGCCUCCCUCUCCCAAGUUUCCUCUUCUACUUGAGCAUUUCGCCAUAAGAUUCUGACGAUGGGGAUCUUUUUGCUCCGUAACUCCUUCACUUCUUGAUCUAGUAUCCUUAUGGGUCUCAAUUCCAGUGUUAAGUCUUCCUUAACUUCUACUGGGACCUGGGGUAGAACUCGGGCGGGGUCCACGUCAGCCUUCCUUAACAAGGAGACAUGGAACACAUCAUGGACCCUGGCUAGCUGUGGGGGCAAAUCUACCUUGUAGGCUACUGGUCCUACUCGUUGUAAGAUUUUGAAGGGUCCGAUGAAGCGGGGAGUUAACUUCCCUUUUAAUCCAAACCGUAACAUGUUCUUCCAUGGGGCUACUUUCAGGAACACCUGGUCCCCCGUACUGAACUCGAGAGGUCUUCUCCUCACAUCAGCAUACUUCUUCUGUCUAUCCUGUGCGGCUUUGAUGCGAUCCCUGAUAGUUCUCACUUUCUCCGUGGUGACUUGGACCAACUCUGCACCAUAUAACUUCUGGUCCCCAAUUUCCUCCCAACACAAAGGAGUUCUGCACCUCCUACCAUACAAGGCUUCAUAUGGGGGCAUCCCUAUUGUGGCUUGGUGACUAUUGUUAUACGUGAACUCCACCAAUGCCAUGUGUUCCUCCCAGUUUCCUCCAAAUUCUAGCACACAAGCCCGUAAUAGGUCUUCCAAGACUUGGAUGACUCUUUCUGAUUGGCCAUCCGUUUGAGGGUGAAACGCAGUGCUCAUGUCCAAUCUUGUCCCCAAGGCAUGUUGUAUGCUAGGCCAAAGUCGAGAGGUGAACCUGGGAUCUCGAUCCAAUACAAUGGACACCGGAAUCCCAUGAAGUCGUACCACCUCAUUUAUGUAGAUUUUGGCAAGCUUGUCCACCGAGUCGAUCAUCUUUAUAUGCAAGAAUAGUGCGGAUUUCAUCAACCGAUCUACAAUGACCCAUAUCGCAUCAUUUCCUUUCCGCCCUUUGGGAAAUCCCGACACGAAAUCCAUGGUGAUCAUCUCCCACUUCCAUUCUGGAAUUUGUAAUAGUUGUAAUGGUCCCGCAGGCCUUUGGUGUUCAACCUUGACUUGUUGACAUAUGCCACACUUUGACACAUACUCAGCUAUUUCCCUUUUCAUAUUAGGCCACCAAUAGAGGUGUUUCAAGUCUCGAUACAUCUUAGUGCUGCCAGGAUGUAUGGAGAACUUGGACUCAUGUGCUUCUUGUAGAACCAUUCGUUUGAGUGUUUCGUCAUUAGGCACGUACAAUCGUUGUCCCAUCAUCAAGGACCCAUCAUCCGCUACUCGGAAUUUCAUUUCUACCCCGGCCUCCACAUUCUUUCUAAUCUUGGACCCCACCUUAUCAUGGAAUUGGGCAUGUAGUAUUUGUUCUCGAUAUGUUGGUCGCACCACUAAUUGGGCUACUAACCCACCUUCUGCAUCGAUUCCCAAAUCUGCACCCAACUCUUUU
rnacentral:rRNA from 1 species